GACGAACGCUGGCGGCGUGCCUAAUACAUGCAAGUCGAGCGCUGAAGGUUGGUACUUGUACCGACUGGAUGAGCAGCGAACGGGUGAGUAACGCGUGGGGAAUCUGCCUUUGAGCGGGGGACAACAUUUGGAAACGAAUGCUAAUACCGCAUAAAAACUUUAAACACAAGUUUUAAGUUUGAAAGAUGCAAUUUCAUCACUUAAAGAUGAUCCCCCGUUGUAUUAGCUAGUUGGUGAGGUAAAGGCUCACCAAGGCGAUGAUACAUAGCCGACCUGAGAGGGUGAGCGGCCAGAUUGGGAAGGAGACCGGGCCCAAACUGCUACGGGCAGACGCCGAAGGGCAUCUUCGGCGAUGGGCGAAAGACUGACCGUACAACGCCGCGUCAGUAAACAGUGGUCUCGGAUCGGGAAAGUCUGUUGGUAGAUAAGAAAGUUGGUGAGAGUGGAAAGCCGAUUAAGUGACGGUAACUACUCAAAAAGGAACGGCUAACUACGUG
rnacentral:rRNA from 1 species